GUCUAUGGCCAUACCACCCUGGACGCGUCUGAUCUCAUCUGAUCUCGGAAGCUAAGGAGGGUAGGAUGGUUAGUACUUGGAUGGAAGAAUGUUUAGAUCAAUCAGGAAAUCAAACAAGAAGUUAACU
ensembl:rRNA 5S_rRNA 5S ribosomal RNA